rnacentral:lncRNA from 1 species
AGAAAUCUGCUUGAAUUAAUAAAGAGAUUUCGUUUAACAAUAAAGAAAAUUUCUUGAUGAACAACAAUUUAGCACCUUGAAGAAAUAUAAACUUGAAACGUGAAAGUUGGGGAAGACACGUGAAUAAGGUUAAUGGUAUUGGUUUAAUUUAUUUUUUUCACUUUAAACGGUUAUUGGUAUAUAAUUUGGUCUAAUAUAGGACUCUUUCCAUAAAUAAAAAUUAUUUAAAAUACUAAAAAUCUGAAUACAUAUUAUUUUAUAAAAAUAUUGUCAUUCUGCCAUUUUUAAAUAAAUAUUUUAAAGUAUUGUUAUUUUGACUAAUUAUGUUAGAUAUUAUGACUUAAUUGCUAAUUUUCCCAAAAAUAAAAGGGUGGGUAGGUUAUGAUGUAUGUGUUGUUAUUAUUUUUGUUGGGUUUUGAGGAAUCUAAAAUGGUGGGCCGGAUCUGGGAAUUAAAGGGGUGGGCUGGGAUUUGGAGAAAAUGGAAUUGGGGAAGUGGGCUGUUUGGAAUCAAAUUAGGUUGAAAAUAUGUCCCAAUUUUGGGUCUUAAAGAAUUGGGAGGCUAGGAUAGCAAGUGGCUAAU